AUUGAACGCUGGCGGCAGGCCUAACACAUGCAAGUCGAACGGUAGCACAGAGAGCUUGCUCUUGGGUGACGAGUGGCGGACGGGUGAGUAAUGUCUGGGAAACUGCCUGAUGGAGGGGGAUAACUACUGGAAACGGUAGCUAAUACCGCAUAACGUCUUCGGACCAAAGUGGGGGACCUUCGGGCCUCACACCAUCGGAUGUGCCCAGAUGGGAUUAGCUAGUAGGUGGGGUAAUGGCUCACCUAGGCGACGAUCCCUAGCUGGUCUGAGAGGAUGACCAGCCACACUGGAACUGAGACACGGUCCAGACUCCUACGGGAGGCAGCAGUGGGGAAUAUUGCACAAUGGGCGCAAGCCUGAUGCAGCCAUGCCGCGUGUAUGAAGAAGGCCUUCGGGUUGUAAAGUACUUUCAGCGAGGAGGAAGGCAGUCGUGUUAAUAGCACGAUUGAUUGACGUUACUCGCAGAAGAAGCACCGGCUAACUCCGUGC
rnacentral:rRNA from 1 species